rnacentral:rRNA from 1 species
AUGGGCACCUACUGGCCCUACACGCCCUCCAUCCAGCUCCUCUACGGCCUCCGCGCCGGCCUCGACCUCCUCUUCGAGGAGGGCCUCGACAACGUCAUCAAGAGGCACACACGCCUCGGCACCGCAACAAGGCUGGCGGUGGCGGCGUGGGGGCUCAAGAACUGCACCGCGAAGGAGGAGAACUUCAGCGACACGGUCACCGCCGUCGUCGUGCCGCCGUACAUCGACAGCUCCGAGAUCGUCAAGCACGCGUGGAAGCGGUACAACCUCAGCCUCGGGCUCGGGCUCAACAAGGUCGCCGGCAAGGUCUUCAGGAUCGGCCACCUCGGCCACCUCAACGAGCUGCAACUUCUGGGUUGCCUCGGCGGGGUGGAGAUGGUGCUCAAGGACAUCGGGUACCCGGUGAAGCUCGGCAGCGGCGUGGCGGCCGCCGCGGCGUACCUCUCGAAUUCCACGCCCCUCAUCCCCUCCAGGAUCUGA